AGUGAACGCUGGCGGUAGGCCUAACACAUGCAAGUCGAACGGCAGCACAGUAAGAGCUUGCUCUUACGGGUGGCGAGUGGCGGACGGGUGAGGAAUACAUCGGAAUCUACUUUUUCGUGGGGGAUAACGUAGGGAAACUUACGCUAAUACCGCAUACGACCUACGGGUGAAAGCAGGGGAUCUUCGGACCUUGCGCGAUUGAAUGAGCCGAUGUCGGAUUAGCUAGUUGGCGGGGUAAAGGCCCACCAAGGCAACGAUCCGUAGCUGGUCUGAGAGGAUGAUCAGCCACACUGGAACUGAGACACGGUCCAGACUCCUACGGGAGGCAGCAGUGGGGAAUAUUGGACAAUGGGCGCAAGCCUGAUCCAGCCAUACCGCGUGGGUGAAGAAGGCCUUCGGGUUGUAAAGCCCUUUUGUUGGGAAAGGAAAGCAGCAGGUUAAUACCCCGCUGUUCUGACGGUACCCAAAGAAUAAGCACCGGCUAACUUCGUG
rnacentral:rRNA from 1 species